UACGAAGGGGACUAGCGUUGUUCGGAAUCACUGGGCGUAAAGCGCACGUAGGCGGAUGUGUCAGUCAGGGGUGAAAUCCCGGGGGCUCAACCUCGGAACUGCCUUUGAUACAGCACGUCUCGAGUCCGGAAGAGGUGGGUGGAAUUCCUAGUGUAGAGGUGAAAUUCGUAGAUAUUAGGAAGAACACCGGUGGCGAAGGCGGCCCACUGGUCCGGUACUGACGCUGAGGUGCGAAAGCGUGGGGAGCAAACAGG
rnacentral:rRNA from 1 species